GACGAACGCUGGCGGCGUGCCUAAUACAUGCAAGUCGAGCGGAACUGGGGGAGCUUGCUCCUUCCAGUUUAGCGGCGGACGAGUGAGUAACACGUGGGCAACCUGCCCUGCAGAUCGGGAUAACUCCGGGAAACCGGUGCUAAUACCGAAUAGUUUGGCGCCUCUCCUGAGGCGCUACGGAAAGACGGUUUCGGCUGUCACUGCAGGAUGGGGCCGCGGCGCAUUAGCUAGUUGGUGGGGUAACGGCCCACCAAGGCGAUGAUGCGUAGCCGACCUGAGAGGGUGACCGGCCACACUGGGACUGAGACACGGCCCAGACUCCUACGGGAGGCAGCAGUAGGGAAUCUUCCGCAAUGGACGCAAGUCUGACGGAGCGACGCCGCGUGAGUGACGAAGGUUUUCGGAUCGUAAAACUCUGUUGUGAGGAAAGAACACGUACCAACUAACUAUUGGUACCUUGACGGUACCUCACCAGAAAGCCACGGCUAACUACGUGCCAGCAGCCGCAGUAA
rnacentral:rRNA from 1 species